rnacentral:rRNA from 1 species
GAUGAACGCUGGCGGCGCGCCUAACACAUGCAAGUCGAACGGUUAAAGCACCUUUUUGGUGUGUAUAAAGUGGCGAACGGCUGAGUAACACGUGGGCAACCUGCCCUCCUCUUGGGGAUAGCCUCGGGAAACCGAGGAUAAUACCCGAUACUUCAAUGUGGCCGCAUGACGACAUUGAGAAAGCUUUUGCGGGGAUGGAUGGGCCCGCGGCCUGUUAGCUUGUUGGUGGGGUAGAGGCCUACCAAGGCAAUGAUGGGUAGCUGGGUUGAGAGACCGACCAGCCAAAUUGGGGCUGGGGCACGGCCCAGACUCCUACGGGGGGCCACAGGGGGGAAUCUUGCACAAUGGGCGAGAGCCUGAUGCAGCGACGCCGCGGGCGGGACGAAGGCCUUCGGGUUGUAAACCGCUUUCAGCAGGGACGAGGCGAUAAGUGACGGUACCUGCAGAAGAAGCCCCGGCUAACUACGUG